rnacentral:rRNA from 1 species
AGUGAACGCUGGCGGUAGGCCUAACACAUGCAAGUCGAACGGCAGCACAGUAAGAGCUUGCUCUUACGGGUGGCGAGUGGCGGACGGGUGAGGAAUACAUCGGAAUCUACUUUUUCGUGGGGGAUAACGUAGGGAAACUUACGCUAAUACCGCAUACGUCCUACGGGUGAAAGCAGGGGAUCUUCGGACCUUGCGCGAUUGAAUGAGCCGAUGUCGGAUUAGCUAGUUGGCGAGGUAAAGGCCCACCAAGGCGACGAUCCGUAGCUGAUCUGAGAGGAUGAUCAGCCACACUGGAACUGAGACACGGUCCAGACUCCUACGGGAGGCAGCAGUGGGGAAUAUUCGACAAUGGGCGCAAGCCUGAUCCAGCCAUACCGCGUGAGUGAAGAAGGCCUUCGGGUUGUAAAGCCCUUUUGUUGGGAAAGAAAAGCAGCAGGAUAAUACCCCGCUGUUCUGACGGUACCCAAAGAAUAAGCACCGGCUAACUUCGUG